rnacentral:rRNA from 1 species
AGCGAACGCUGGCGGCAGGCCUAAUACAUGCAAGUCGAACGCACCUUCGGGUGAGUGGCGGACGGGUGAGUAACGCGUGGGAACGUGCCCUUUGGUACGGAACAACUGGGGGAAACUUCAGCUAAUACCGUAUGUGCCCUUCGGGGGAAAGAUUUAUCGCCAUUGGAGCGGCCCGCGUUGGAUUAGCUAGUUGGUGGGGUAAAGGCUCACCAAGGCUACGAUCCAUAGCUGGUCUGAGAGGAUGAUCAGCCACACUGGGACUGAGACACGGCCCAGACUCCUACGGGAGGCAGCAGUAGGGAAUCUUGCGCAAUGGGCGAAAGCCUGACGCAGCCAUGCCGCGUGAAUGAUGAAGGUCUUAGGAUUGUAAAAUUCUUUCACCGGGGAAGAUAAUGACGGUACCCGGAGAAGAAGCCCCGGCUAACUUCGUGCCAGCAGCCGCCUAAGAC